UCCCUGGGUAUUGCCAUUAUUAACAAGUCAGUCCCUAUAUUUUCAGAAACCUAUUAAAAUAUCCUUAUGUUUUCUCUCCGUCAACGAAAUAGUCCUUCUGUCUAUUUUUGCCGUUAAAAAUAUAGUAAAAGACUAAAUUACCCCCAAUUAUUUUUCUCCUCCUCCUCCUUCCUUUUCUUCUUCAUCAAUUCUUCUUCCUUUUGCUUCUUCUUCUUCUGCUUCUUCUUCUUCUGCUUCUUCUCCUUUUUCUUCUUCUUCUUCUGUUUUUUCUCCUUCUUCUUCUG
rnacentral:lncRNA from 1 species